AGUGAACGCUGGCGGUAGGCCUAACACAUGCAAGUCGAACGGCAGCACAGUAAGAGCUUGCUCUUACGGGUGGCGAGUGGCGGACGGGUGAGGAAUACAUCGGAAUCUACUUUUUCGUGGGGGAUAACGUAGGGAAACUUACGCUAAUACCGCAUACGACCUACGGGUGAAAGCAGGGGAUCUUCGGACCUUGCGCGAUUGAAUGAGCCGAUGUCGGAUUAGCUAGUUGGCGGGGUAAAGGCCCACCAAGGCGACGAUCCGUAGCUGGUCUGAGAGGAUGAUAAGCCCCACUGGAACUGAGGCACGGUCCAGACUCCUACGGGAGGCAGCAGUGGGGAAUAUUGGACAAUGGGCGCAAGCCUGAUCCAGCCAUACCGCGUGGGUGAAAAAGGCCUUCGGGUUGUAAAGCCCUUUUGUUGGGAAAGAAAAGCAGCAGGUUAAUACCCCGCUGUUCUGACGGUACCCAAAGAAUAAGCACCGGCUAACUUCGUG
rnacentral:rRNA from 1 species